rnacentral:rRNA from 1 species
AGAUUGAACGCUGGCGGCAGGCCUAACACAUGCAAGUCGAGCGGUAGAGAGGUGCUUGCAUCUCUUGAGAGCGGCGGACGGGUGAGUAAUGCCUAGGAAUCUGCCUAGUGGUGGGGGAUAACGUUCGGAAACGGACGCUAAUACCGCAUACGUCCUACGGGAGAAAGCGGGGGACCUUCGGGCCUCGCGCCAUUAGAUGAGCCUAGGUCGGAUUAGCUAGUUGGUGAGGUAAUGGCUCACCAAGGCGACGAUCCGUAACUGGUCUGAGAGGAUGAUCAGUCACACUGGAACUGAGACACGGCCCAGACUCCUACGGGAGGCAGCAGGUGGGAAUUUGGACAAGUGGGGGAAACCCUGAUCCAGUCCAUCCGCGUGUGCGAGUGGAACGGUCCGUUCGGGUUAGUAAAGCGUACGUUUU